AUUGAACGCUGGCGGCAGGCCUAACACAUGCAAGUCGAGCGGAGCUGCGGACGGGUGAGUAAUGCCUAGGAAUCUGCCUGGUAUUGGGGGAUAACGUCCGGAAACGGGAGCUAAUAUCGCAUACUAUUUGCUGUGCCUAGGUCGUAUUGGCUAGUUGGUGUGGUAAAGGCUUACCAGGGCGACGAUCCGUAACGGGUCUGAGAGGAUGACCCGUCACACUGGAACGGAGACACGGUCCAGACGCCUACGGGAUGAAGCAGUGGGGAAUAUUCGACAAUGGGCGAAAGCCUGAAGCAGCAAUGCCGCGUGUGUGAAGAAGGUCUUCGGAUUGUAAAACACUUUUAGUAGGGAGGCGGUACCAACAGAAAAAGCACCGGCUAACUACGUGCCAGCAGCCGCGGUAAUAC
rnacentral:rRNA from 1 species